rnacentral:rRNA from 1 species
GAUAAACGCUGGCGGCGUGCCUAACACAUGCAAGUCGAACGCCCUUUUGCGCAAGUGAGAGGGAGUGGCGGACGGGUGAGUACCACGUGGGUACCUACCUUGAGGUGAGGAAUACCACCGAGAAAUCGGUGACAAGACCGCAUACGCUUGGCAACAAGCAAAGUCUCGCAAGAGACGCCACAAGAUGGGCCUGCGCCUGAUUAGCUAGUUGGUGAGGUAAUGGCNCACCAAGGCGACGAUCAGUAGCUGGUCUGAGAGGAUGAUCAGCCACACUGGGAUUGAGAACGGCCCAGACUCCUACGGGGGGCAGCAGUGAGGAA